AACAGAAACAGAGCGAGUCAGAAGGGGCCUCCCGGGCCGUCUGGUCUGACCCUCGGCUCUAGCCGACUUGCCUCAUGACCCCCCCACC